GGGGCGCGCGGGUGUGCGUGCGCGGGCGCGCGCUCGCGAAGGGGGCGCGAGCAGGAGGGAAGGGGGAAGAGAGCCGGGAGGAAGAGGACAGGGAGAGCGCAGAGAGGAAAACUGCAGAAAACCACAGGGAAAAAGAACUCCAAGAUUAAAAAUAUCCUUCUCCAUUGACGCUGAGUUGCUGGUCGACAUAUUUUUAAAAGAAUUCCCUCAAGUCUAUAAGGAAGACAGGACCACUCUGGACUAGCUGUAAGGAUGUGUUUUUGUUUCUGUAACACGAAAACACGUUGCAUAAACCUUUUAAUGUUGCUAUAUGAGUCUAUUUGGACAUUAAAAGAAGCGAACGCACAAAGAUAGCUUAGCUUUAUGCCUUCAAUGUAGCAUUAACGAAAAAAAUUUUAAAAUCUGAGUUUUUUUUCCAUACUCAUCCUUGCCUUUCAAAAAAUGCAGAGCUAAGUAAAGUUUGCAGCUCGCAUCUGUACGUCUUCGCGUGCGCGUUUAUAAACAUCUUCCAGUCGGAGUUACCCCCCUCCUGCCACACUUGCGAAGACAGAGGCUUCGAGGGAUCGCCCCUGAGAGCUUUGUUUACUUAGGUUUUUUAAAUCUCUCCGCCAUGUAUGACAAGUGUUACUUCAAGAAAUUCGUCAGCCUUCUACAGAUACUUCCAGUUCUGCUGUAAUGAUCUGCAGAAGACAACUGUCAUCACUGUAUCACAUCCCAAGGUGUUGCAGGGACUCGGAGGGAGGCGAGAGGGACCGCCACGCUUAAUUACCUUGGGGAGGGAGGGGCGCCGGCCUGGACGCAGGCGGAGAAAGGACAGGGAGGGACCCUCCUCCCCAGGUACCUGCGGGCAGCUCUCAGGCGCCUCUCUCCGAAUAUUUGGAAAAGGUAUGGUUGCCUUUCCCUCCCUCUCAUUCCUUUAGGGAGAAGUGAUACCCUUGUGUAACAAUUAGCUCAAACAAUAAAUAUAAUUGGAAAAUCA